rnacentral:rRNA from 1 species
UACGGAGGGUGCAAGCGUUAUCCGGAUUCAUUGGGUUUAAAGGGUGCGCAGGCGGAUAUUUAAGUCAGUGGUGAAAUCCCGGGGCUCAACCUCGGAACUGCCAUUGAUACUGAAUAUCUGGAAUACGGUUGAAGUGGGCGGAAUGUAGCAUGUAGCGGUGAAAUGCAUAGAGAUGCUACAGAACACCGAUCGCGAAGGCAGCUCACUAAGCCGAUAUUGACGCUCAGGCACGAAAGCGUGGGGAGCGAACAGAAUUAGAUACCCUAGUAGUCC